rnacentral:rRNA from 1 species
CCUACGGGAGGCAGCAGUGAGGAAUAUUGGUCAAUGGACGCAAGUCUGAACCAGCCAUGCCGCGUGCAGGAAGACGGCUCUAUGAGUUGUAAACUGCUUUUGUACGAGGGUAAACGCAGAUACGCGUAUCUGUCUGAAAGUAUCGUACGAAUAAGGAUCGGCUAACUCCGUGCCAGCAGCCGCGGUAAUACGGAGGAUUCAAGCGUUAUCCGGAUUUAGUGGGUUUAAAGGGUGCGUAGGCGGUUCGAUAAGUUAGAGGUGAACUCCCGGGGCUCCACUCCGGCACUGCCUCUGAUACUGUCGGGCUAGAGUUUAGUUGCGGUAGGCGGAAUGUCUGGUGUAGCGG